UACAGAGGUCCCGAGCGUUGUUCGGAUUCACUGGGCGUAAAGGGUGCGCAGGUGGCAUGGUAAGUUUGAUGUGAAAGCUCAGGGCUUAACCUUGAAAUGGCAUUGAAUACUACUGUGCUGGAGGUUUGGAGGGGGGACUGGAAUUCUUGGUGUAGCAGUGAAAUGCGUAGAUAUCAAGAGGAACACCAGUGGCGAAGGCGAGUCCCUGGACAACACCUGACACUGAGGCACGAAAGCUAGGGGAGCAAACAGG
rnacentral:rRNA from 1 species